rnacentral:rRNA from 1 species
AUACGAAGGGUGCAAGCGUUGUUCGGAUUUAUUGGGCGUAAAGCGCGCGCAGGCGGAUUGGCAAGUCAGAUGUGAAAUCUCGGGGCUCAACCCCGAAACUGCGUCUGAAACUGCUAAUCUAGAAUCUUGGAGAGGGAAGGGGAAUUUCUCAUGUAGGGGUAAAAUCCGUAGAGAUGAGAAGGAACACCAGAGGCGAAGGCGCCUUCCUGGACAAGUAUUGACGCUGAGGCGCGAAAGCGUGGGGAGCAAACAGGAUUAGAAACCCUAGUAGUCC